AUUGAACGCUGGCGGCAGGCCUAACACAUGCAAGUCGAGCGGAUGAAGGGAGCUUGCUCCUGGAUUCAGCGGCGGACGGGUGAGUAAUGCCUAGGAAUCUGCCUGGUAGUGGGGGAUAACGUCCGGAAACGGGCGCUAAUACCGCAUCCGUCCUGAGGGAGAAAGUGGGGGAUCUUCGGACCUCACGCUAUCAGAUGAGCCUAGGUCGGAUUAGCUAGUUGGUGGGGUAAAGGCCUACCAAGGCGACGAUCCGUAACUGGUCUGAGAGGAUGAUCAGUCACACUGGAACUGAGACACGGUCCAGACUCCUACGGGAGGCAGCAGUGGGGAAUAUUGGACAAGGGGCGAAAGCCUGAUCCAGCCAUGCCGCGUGUGUGAAGAAGGUCUUCGGAUGGGAAAGCACUGUAAGUUGGGAGGAAGGGCAGUAAGUUAAUACCUGGCUGUUUUGACGGUACCAACAGAAUAAGCACCGGCUAACUUCGUG
rnacentral:rRNA from 1 species